AUUACAGAGUUGCAAAACUCCCUAAACCAUUGUGAACGUUACCCUUAACCGUUGCUUCGGCGGGCGGCGCCAUGCCGCCCCUCGGCCCUUCCCGGGCGCCCGCCGGAGGAUACCCAACUCUUGAUAUUUUAUGGCCACUCUGAGUCUUCUGUACUGAAUAAGUCAAAACUUUCAACAACGGAUCUCUUGGUUCUGGCAUCGAUGAAGAACGCAGCGAAAUGCGAUAAGUAAUGUGAAUUGCAGAAUUCAGUGAAUCAUCGAAUCUUUGAACGCACAUUGCGCCCGCCAGUAUUCUGGCGGGCAUGCCUGUUCGAGCGUCAUUUCAACCAUCAAGCCCCCGGCUUGUGUUGGGGACCUGCGGCUGCCCGCAGGCCCUGAAAAACAGUGGCGGGCUCGCUGUCACACCGAGCGUAGUAGCAUCAUUCUCGCUCAGGGCGUGCUGCGGGUUCCGGCCGUUAAACGACCUUCAUAACCCAAGGUUGACCUCGGAUCAGGUAGGAAGACCCGCUGAACUUAAGCAUAUCAAUAAGCGGAGGAAAAGAAACCAACAGGGAUUGCCCUAGUAACGGCGAGUGAAGCGGCAACAGCUCAAAUUUGAAAUCUGGCUUCGGCCCGAGUUGUAAUUUGUAGAGGAAGCUUUAGGCGCGGCACCUUCUGAGUCCCCUGGAACGGGGCGCCAUAGAGGGUGAGAGCCCCGUAUAGUUGGAUGCCUAGCCUGUGUAAAGCUCCUUCGACGAGUCGAGUAGUUUGGGAAUGCUGCUCAAAAUGGGAGGUAAAUUUCUUCUAAAGCUAAAUACCGGCCAGAGACCGAUAGCGCACAAGUAGAGUGAUCGAAAGAUGAAAAGCACUUUGAAAAGAGGGUUAAAUAGCACGUGAAAUUGUUGAAAGGGAAGCGCUUGUGACCAGACUUGCGCCGGGCUGAUCAUCCGGU
rnacentral:rRNA from 1 species